rnacentral:rRNA from 1 species
AACGCUGGCGGCGUGCCUCAGACAUGCAAGUCGAACGCGAAACCUUCCUUCGGGAGGGGAGUAGAGUGGCGCACGGGUGAGUAACACGUUGGUAAUUUGCCUUCGGGUGGGGAAUAACAGCCGGAAACGGCUGCUAAUACCGCAUAAUGCAGCGGCUCGACAUCGAGACAGUUGUUAAAGCGCGGGAUUCGCAAGAACCUCGUGCCUGAAGAGAAGCCUGCGGCAGAAUAGCUAGUUGGUAGGGUAACGGCCUACCAAGGCGACGAUCUGUAGCCGGCCUGAGAGGGCGGUCGGCCACACUGACACUGACAUACCCGUCAGACUCCUACGGGAGGCAGCAGUCGGGAAUUUUGGGCAAUGGGCGAAAGCCUGACCCAGCAACGCCGCGUGAAGGAUGAAAUCCCUCGGGAUGUAAACAACGCAAGAAUGGGAAGAAUAAGUAGAAGCGAAUACCUUCUAUGAUGACGGUACCAUUUGUAAGCUCCGGCUAACUCCGUGCCAGCAGCCGCGGUAAUACGGGGGGAGCAAGCGUUGUUCGGAUUUACUGGGCGUAAAGGGCGCGUAGGCGGUCACUACAAGUCAGUUGUGAAAUCUCUGGGCUUAACUCAGAACGGUCAACUGAUACUGUCGGACUAGAGUGCAGAAGGGGCAACUGGAAUUCUCGGUGUAGCGGUGAAAUGCGUAGAUAUCGAGAGGAACACCUGCGGCGAAGGCGGGUUGCUGGGCUGACACUGACGCUGAGGCGCGAAAGCUAGGGGAGCGAACGGGAUUAGAUACCCCGGUAGUCCUAGCCUUAAACGAUGAAUGCUUGGUGUCUCGGGUUAUAUAGUCCCGAGGUGCCGUCGCUAACGCAUUAAGCAUUCCGCCUGGGGAGU